rnacentral:rRNA from 1 species
GCAAACAGAGGGAAGCAAAGCAGUGAUGUGGAGCAAACCCGAAAAGCAGCUUAGUUCGGAUUGUAGGCUGCAACUCGCCUACAUGAAGUCGGAAUUGCUAGUAAUCGCGGAUCAGCAUGCUGCGGUGAAUACGUUCCCGGGCCUUGUACACACCGCCCGUCAAGCCAUGGGAGCCGGGGGUGCCUGAAGUUCGUGACCGCAAGGAGCGACCUAGGGCAAAACUGGUGACUGGGGCUAAGUCGUAACAAGGUACC